CAGCAGUAGCCACGGGAAUACGUAGGGUGCAAGCGUUAAUCGGAAUUACUGGGCGUAAAGCGUGCGCAGGCGGUUAUAUAAGACAGAUGUGAAAUCCCCGGGCUCAACCUGGGAACUGCAUUUGUGACUGUAUAGCUAGAGUACGGCAGAGGGGGAUGGAAUUCCGCGUGUAGCAGUGAAAUGCGUAGAUAUGCGGAGGAACACCGAUGGCGAAGGCAAUCCCCUGGGCCUGUACUGACGCUCAUGCACGAAAGCGUGGGGAGCAAACAGGAUUAGAUACCCCCGUAGUCCCUGUCUCUUAUAC
rnacentral:rRNA from 1 species